CAGUCGCCACGGUAAUACGUAGGUGGCAAGCGUUGUCCGGAGUUAUUGGGCGUAAAGGGCUCGCAGGCGGUUUCUUAAGUCUGAUGUGAAAGCCCCCGGCUCAACCGGGGAGGGUCAUUGGAAACUGGGAAACUUGAGUGCAGAAGAGGAGAGUGGAAUUCCACGUGUAGCGGUGAAAUGCGUAGAGAUGUGGAGGAACACCAGUGGCGAAGGCGACUCUCUGGUCUGUAACUGACGCUGAGGAGCGAAAGCGUGGGGAGCGAACAGGAUUAGAUACCCCUGUAGUCCCUGUCUCUUAUAA
rnacentral:rRNA from 1 species